ensembl:lncRNA
AUGGAAAAGCAGCCAGAAGCAGUAAAUCCACGGGAUUUGGGAGGAGCAGGAGGAACGGCCCUGCCAUUCCAGCUGCGGACAGAAGGGAGCAUCCAAAGCCCAGGCGAGGCCCAGAGGAACCAUCGGGGACAAUCCAGCCUCGGGAGGGGACAGGUGCCAUCCUGCUGUGUGUCCCAUGUCCUCACUGGGUGCCAUCCUGCUGUGUGUCCUCACCGGGUGCCAUCCUGCUGUGUGUCCUCACUGGGUGCCAUCCUGCUGUGUGUCCCAUGUCCUCACCGGGUGCCAUCCUGCUGUGUGUCCUCACCGGGUGCCAUCCUGCUGUGUGUCCCAUGUCCUCAUCGGGUGCCAUCCUGCCCCGUGUCCUCGCCAAGGGCCACUCCUGUCUGUGUCCUCACCGGGUGCCACUCCUGCCCCAUGUCCUCACCAGGUGCCAUCCUGCUGUGUGUCCUCAUCGGGUGCCAUCCUGCCCAGUGUCCUCACCAGGUGCCAUCCUGCCCAGUGUCCUUGCCAAGGGCCACUCCUGUCUGUGUCCUCACUGGGUGCCAUCCUGCGGUGUGUCCUCACCGGGUGCCACUCCUGUCUGUGUCCUCACCGGGUGCCACUCCUGCCCCGUGUCCUCACCAGGUGCCACUCCUGCCCCGUGUCCUCACCAGGUGCCACUCCUGUCUGUGUCCUCACCAGGUGCCACUCCUGUCUGUGUCCUCACCAGGUGCCACUCCUGUCUGUGUCCUCACCGGGUGCCAUCCUGCUGUGUGUCCUCACUGGGUGCCAUCCUGCCCCGUGUCCUCACCGCUGGCACGAGGGGGUUCCACAGCUCCUGGGGCCCACGGGAGCUGUCCCUGCAGGGAUUCCAGAACCUGUGGAGAAACAAAGGUCAGGGUGAGGGACAGCAGUGACCUUGGACACUGCAGCACAACCUCAUGUCCAGCCCUUGCNAAUUUCCAAGUUACUUAAACGUAUUUAAUUUUAAAGUUCCUGCAAGGACAGCAAAGCCUCCAAGGGAAAAACAGGAAUUUCACAGGACCAGGGAAUGGUUUGGCUUGGAAGGGACCUUAAGGAUCACCCAGUUCCAAACCCCUGCCCGGGAAGGGGGACUGGAAACAAAGCAGAGGGAGGGAGAAGGUGAAAGGGAUGGACAGAGGGGAGGAUUUGCUGGGAGCCUGAAUUUGCUGCUCCCGAAUCCUGCAGCCCCCGUGCCAGGCGCUGCCGAAUACUAAUCAGAGCUGAAAAAACACCAAACAAUUAGAAAGGAAAGUCUGCUGGCAGGGUUUCUCCUGGAGACGUCGGGCUGGUUUUGUUUAUGAGCGGGAGGAAGUGGGAACCGCUCCUGUUUGUUCUGCGGGAGAAAAGAGAGAGCUCCAGUGUUUUAAUUUCUCCGCUGAAAACCCUGGAGAUUUGGCCUGAAACGGAGCAGAGAGGCUGAUCCAGAUUCACCCGCAGCCUUUUGUUACAAGAAAAUAUUUGAGUCGGUUUUUUUUUUUCCCCUCCCUCCCCUUCUGCGUGGGCAAAGAAAAGGGGCAGUGGAUACAAAGCCGGCAUUUUUUGUUCCCAGAAAAUAUCAAUGAAAAGAGCAUUCCAGAGGCCAAGGGCACAGCACAGCUCCCAGGGCACUGGAGGUGUCCUGGCUGAGCCCAGGAAAGGCAAAAAUGCCACUUCAAAAACUCCUUGUUUUGUUAGAAAGGCAGGUGAGCAAUACUUGGGAAGCCUAAAUUGGGUUUUUAACCAGGUUUUUGCCUCCCAAGGACACACAUGAGGCUGGGAGGGAAUGAGGCCGCAUAAAUUUCAUUUACUCGGAGGUGCAACUUGCAGCUCCUCAGAUGCAAAAUCAACAUUUUCCUUUGGUUUUGACACGGGAGGGCCUGAAGCAGCGCCUCAGAAAAUGAAAUAAAUUGGGUUUAGUGUGGGCUGUAAGAGCA